UGUAUGUAAUUUAAAAAAAAUACCAAGCUGUGACCU
rnacentral:tRNA from 1 species